rnacentral:rRNA from 1 species
CACGUAGGGCGCAAGCGUUGUCCGGAAUUAUUGGGCGUAAAGAGCUCGUAGGCGGUCUGUUGCGUCCGCUGUGAAAACUCGGGGCUUAACCCCGAGCCUGCAGUGGAUACGGGCAGACUAGAGGUAGGUAGGGGAGAAUGGAAUUCCCGGUGUAGCGGUGAAAUGCGCAGAUAUCGGGAGGAACACCGGUGGCGAAGGCGGUUCUCUGGGCCUUACCUGACGCUG